UGACGAGAUGUUGAUCAUGUGAUGAGUUCGCAAACCAAAUGCCCCACUUUUGCUGCCACUGGACAGCGAAAACAAGUUGGAACCAACCUUACAUCAGCAGAUAUCUCAAAGUGCUGUACAGAAACCCAGCCUAAAACCCCAAACAGCAAGCAAUGCAGGUGUAGAAGCAAGGAAGAGAGGCAAGAACUAUUUGUCUGCCAGCUCAGGGACAAGCUACACUAUUCACAGCCCUGUGUAAUGUUCAAUGUAAUUGCAUUAUUGGACUUUUUAAACUCCAUGUAUUUGUAUUGUUUUAAAAAUGCACAAAUUAAAAAAAAAAUGUAUGGUUCAAA